rnacentral:rRNA from 1 species
GAAAGUUGAAAAGAACUCUGAAGAGAGAGUUCAAGAGGGCGUGAAACCGUUCAGAAGUAAACGGAUAAAGCUGCGAGGUAUCCGCGGAAAUCAGCCAGAGGAGUGGCUAUAACUCGGCGUACCGAUCGCAAGACGGGAAACCGGGCGGGUAGCUACCUUCUGGUGCACUUUUCGCGGAGAAGCGUUGCGACCAGGGUGAACUCUGGCAGAUCGGUUGGAUUGCCGGCGAAGCCGCGUGUUUCGUGUCCCGUCCAGCCAGGAUGUCAGUAGGGUACCCCGGUUUCCUAUAGCGGCUGCUUUUGGCUCGUGAAAUCUCAGUGUGUGGGCGGUUGAAACUCCGAGUCUUGCUUGCAGGGCUCGGUAACCCCCGUCUGCCCGCUGGGGUGUAGCGAAUCGCCGCGAGGGCUCGGCGACGUCCGUGGCAGUGACUUAUCCGACCCGUCUUGAAACACGGACCAAGGAGUCUAACAUGUACGCGAGUUAUUGGGUUUGAAACCCAAAAGCGAAAUAAAAGUAAAUGCCUCGUGCUGAGAUACGAUCCUUGACUUCGGUCGGGGCGCAGUAUCGUCCCAUCUAAGCGGUUCGUCCGCUGGGUGGAGACAGAGCGUAAAUGUUGGGACCCGAAAGAUGGUGAACUAUGCCUGAGCAGAACGAAGCCAGAGGAAACUCUGGUGGAGGUUCGUAGCGGUUCUGACGUGCAAAUCGAUCGUCAGACUUGGGUAUAGGGGCGAAAGACUAAUCGAACCAUCUAGUAGCUGGUU